CUUUGUUCUUUAUUCUUUUUAUUAUUUUAUCACGUUACAUGUUUACUAAAGAUGUGUACGUAACCUGUCUUAUUAUAUAUUUACUUCUGAUUCGUAGAAAUGAGAGUGCCGUGUAGGGACGAUUAUCAAAAGGCGUUGGGUUUGGUUCACAUUAUAUUAGACAUAUUGGGUAUCAAGUGAAGUCGUUUAUACUCUCACUACAUAUACUUUGAUAUAAUACACAGCUUCAUUACGUUUAGUUAUGGACUUUACUCACAAACGAUUACUUUCCUCUCAGCUUUUCUUUUUAGAACCUACGUACUAAUCAAACAGCAAUGUAGGAAGAAGUUAAAGCCUCCGGCAAAGACGAGUAUGCACUGAAGAGGAAAUAAAUUCAAUGAAGCUGAACAUAAAUUUCGGAACGAUGCAAUCCUACAUAAGAUACCUGUUGCUAUUAUUGCUGAUUUAUUUUGAAAGGUGGCUACAUUGAAUUAAUAUACUGUAAAGCAACUAGAUAGGAAUGCAUAUAUCUACAGAUAAAUCAGGAAAUGAAUCUUUCACGAAGAGAACCUCCAAGAAAUUGUUCUUAUAUCCAUAAAGCCUGUAAUUUUCUUGCUACGUGCACAUGGAAUAGAAAGAAGAAUUACAUCUAUAUAAUACGAAUAAAUAUAGCUCCACAAAUCCGUGAAUUAAUAGUUAAUUCCAUGAAUAAUAGUAUCAAAGUAAUGAAUGUCAAAUAGAAAGUAAUUCCUUAAUAUUUCCAAUUCAAUUCAUCAAGAGCAGUUCAAUGAUCAGAGGAAAUUGAAAAAAAAACCUGUUUCAAAUCCUAUAUCCUCUAGGAAGGAAGAUCAAUCAACUUAGAAUCUACUGUGAGUGAGAUUGAUUAAAAAGAAAAAUUUUUCAGAUAACUGGUAGUAUGCAAUAACUACGUAAAACGGUUUGCUAUGGGAUCUUGAAGGCGAAAGAGGUGAAGUGACCGGUUCGCAUUUACGCACGAAAAGAUCUGCUGCUUCUAGUCAUUGGUCUUCCAGCAUCAUGAGGAAUGUUGAGGAGUGAAAGUGAUCUCAAAAAUAUCUUGGCAUGGAGUACAUGUGUAGAGGUAAGUAUAUUCUCGACUUUUUCCCCUUCUUGGCCUUCUUCUUGUCAAUUCCUCUAUUACGUACUGUAUUUGCAAUAUGUAUAUCCAUGCGCAUUGAAUGUGCUUCCAACCAAUCUAAACAAUUCUCAUUGAAUAACAGUUCACCAUUUUGCAAGUAAGAGUAAAAAUGUUUGGACAGUUGAGAUUUUGUAAUACUGACUCUAUGUUCAAAUGCAAGGACCACUGCAUUUCUAUAAUAUUCAUAACUUUUUUUAUUCUUUAUGCCAUUUGUAUAUCUUUCUGUUAUGUUGAUUUUAUCAAAGAUUAUCCAUUUCUAGUAUUUUUUAAUGAUUACAAGUUGGUCUAACUUGUUUAUCAAAAUCUGAUUAAAAUAAUUAUCUGGAAUUCAACUUAAUGUACUGCAAAGAAUAAAUAGGCUU